rnacentral:rRNA from 1 species
CCCUACGGGGUGCAGCAGGCCGAGAGUCCAGAGACUCCUAACGUCGUCUCCUACAAUGGCUUGAGAAGACUUUGUCACUGGCCCUGCGUGCGUUGGAUCUGUCGCAGACGGGAGGUGAUUUCGACCAGGCGCCGGAACCGGGCUGGGUCUUGAGGCCGUAAAGACGGUGCGCAGGUGUGGUUUCUGCCCCUUUCACGUUCAGUCCUUUCUUUACUUUGUCGUGUUCCCUUUGUUAUCGGCCACAAAGAACAGCGAACGGACCGGCGCAAGUUUCACAUGCACGCGCGUGACGGUCCCCUCUUUGCCGAGAGUGUGCUCAACCUCGGCCGGGCCGAUCUUCCCGUCAUGCGGGUUCCAGAUUGCCGGUGCAACCUUCCCACGCAAAGCCACCCAGGUAUCCACCUCCGCAUCGGAGGAAUUGGCGGGAGGGC